CGGACCUGCCCGGUGACUAGGAUUUGUUAAACGGCCGCGGUACCCUAACCGUGCAAAGGUAGCAUAAUCAUUUGCCUUUUAAUUGGAGGCUUGUAUGAAUGGUUUGACGAGGGUUAAGCUGUCUCUUUUGAAAUAUAUAGAAAUUAACUUUUAGGUGAAGAGGCCUAAAUUUGGCUGAGGGACAAGAAGACCCUAUUGAGCUUUAGUUUUAUAGUAAAUAUAAGGUUUUUGGUUUGUGCUGUAAGUGUAUUUAUAUAAUAUAAUUUUAUUGUGGAUUUUUAGUUGGGGCGACUAAGGAACAUGCGAAGCUUCCUUUAAAUAGAGGAUACAUUUUUGGUGUCGGCUAAAUAAUAAGUUCUUUCGGGUUAAUAUGAUCCAAUAGGUUAUUGAUUAAAGGAAAAAGUUACCAUAGGGAUAACAGCGUAAUCUUUCUGGAGAGAUCUUAUCGAAAGGAGGGUUUGCGACCUCGAUGUUGGACUAAGGUAUCCUAAGGGUGCAGACGCUCUUGAUGGUUGGUCUGUUCGACCAUUAAAACCUUACGUGAUCUGAGU
rnacentral:rRNA from 1 species